UUAUUGAAAAUCAUAAAGACAAUCCAUUUCAAAAAAAAAAUUUGGUAUAUACUUGAACAAAAACCUCAUUUAUUUUGUUUCUUCCUAUUGACCACCUUACUUUCAAUAAAAACAAACCAACGUUACUACACUACUGGGCUUAUCUGUAGCGCUGCACGUGUAUCGACAUUUUUUUUUUCAGCUAUGAAGCUUUUUCAAGAUACUUUCCGUACAACAGAGUAAGAACAACUGUUGAGAAUACAGCGAGAAGAGACUUGAUGCGACAUUGUAUUAGUAAAGAAAACAAGAGGCUAAAAAAAUAAGUUAUAAUUAUUUCACUUUUCAAAUCUAAAAUUAUUUAUAAACAAGAGUUUAGUUGUAUGACUCGAUACUAAUGAAUUCUUUUUAAAAAUAUAAAUAAUCUUGAAAUUUUUUCAGGAAUGGGUCAUCCAUUGCUUUGCCAUCAAUCGGAUGACGAGUACCAUCUUUUCGGACUUUUUACAAGUCUUUGUUAAGAAAAGGAUUGUAGACUUAAAUGAAGGGAAAUCUGUCUUGUGAUCUGCCAUGUGUAAGAAAAAACUAUUGGACUUUGUCUUGUGCGACCCUAACCUUUUCAGUUUUGAAAAAAAAAUUCUGUCAAAAGAGUCGACAAAUGGAAAAUUUUCAUUCCUUCAAGUGUACAGCUAUCCAUAGGAACAUUACGAUGACGCUUGUGUGUUUGAAUUCCUAGUCAAAACUCAAGAAUAAUAUAUGUUAUAGAAAAAGGAGAUGUAUUGAUUCAGAUGGAGGUCGAAAUUAUUUUGGCGUUGCCGUCAUUUAAAAAAAAAAGGCAUUUUGAAAACCAUUGUGAUUGUUUCGUUCAUAAUACAAAUUUUUUCUUUAAGUGCAAAAAUGUCUUACCUUCGUGUUCAUAUGGUGUAUAACAAAUAAUGAAAAGACGCGUACGGUAAGUCAUCGCAUGUCAAAGAUUUUGACAGGUUUUCGCGCUUUUAUUAUAAAAAUUGUUUAUAAAUAAGGAAAUGCAUGAGAAGAAUUUUUGAGUAUGUACAUGCCUAGUUUUUUUUUUUUCAGUUUUUUUUUAAAACACGAAAGUCAAUGAAAACCGUUGAUAUUCUCCUAGAGCUCUCUUUUGUGUAAAAUCACGCUACCACUAGACAAAAUUUGAAACAUCCAUACGUGCACGAAUCAAAAAAAUGAAGUAGCUCAUAACACAAUCAUCAUUUCGAAAUACUUUUUAUUUUCCUUCAAUGUCUCUCCAUCCUAAAUACCCAAAAUUUUAAACUACGAAAAAUUGUUGACCAAACAUCUUUUGUUCUUGAAGUAAAACACCGCUUUCUCUACUCAAAAACCAUGAGUGUGGCUACAGCAAAACUGUAGGACGGUAAAUUCAUUUGUCACUUUAUCAAGGUCAUACAAUACAUAAAAUUCAAAUUGAAUCAAUGUCUGUGAACAAUUUUAACAUCAGCAUUUUAAACGGGAGGUAUCAGAAAUUUCCUUUUUAUUGUUCUCGUUUGCAAAGCUGGAUUGUUGAUUUUGCCUGAAUCGCUCAAACAUAAGAGAAAUACCUUCUACAUUUGAGCUAUUAAACAAUUAUUUUUUUAAAGUGUCUAUUAACGAGGACUCAAGUAGGAGUUGUAAAAUCUCCAUUAUUUUUUCAGUUAGUGAACAGAAAAAAAAAAAACGUUCGUUCUUUGCUUUUUUAGUACCAUUUUCAUUUUAGUGAACACCUGACUCGUAACUGUGCAGCUUGGUUCGUUACAAAACGCGGUUAACCUUAACUUAAAAAUAGCUAUAGUUCCCGAGUCAUGAUAUGAUGAAAAAGUUGUUAAGAAAAAUAUCAAGCAGUCAGUCGUAAUAAAAGGUUGAAACGGCGCCAUAAUUUUUACUUAUAACAACAAACGAGAGUAAAAAAUUAAUAUUGUAUACAAAGGAAAAACGGUAUUUUUCGUUUCAAAAAAUACAAUCGAUAACAAGCGAUUAAAAGGAAGAGAUUGUGAUUUGCAACGGGCAUCGAAAAACACGCAUAAGUGGUCACCCAAAAAUUAUGCAUGCAUUCUCGCCUUUUGCUAGAUUGAGCAUUUGACUAUAGCACACAUUCAUUCAUCAAUGUCAUUUUCAAAACAAAUUUUUGUAAAGUAUGUUUUUCGUUUAGUGCUGUAACCUUUGGACGUUUUCCUU